rnacentral:rRNA from 1 species
AUGCUCGUCGGUCGAAAAACCAACUCCGGCGCCCGAGCAUUGACGCACCUGAACGCUUGGCCUCACUAUUCAAAGGCGGUCACACCCGGCUCACACCGCAUUACAACCCAUUCGCUCCUCUCGUGCACCACAUCCACCAUGACCACGAGCGGGAACACGUUGUGGAAAAACCUGUCGACGAAGCAGAAGCGUGAGGUGGCAGCCUGGCAGAGCCGUCGUGCUAGGCGGAUAGAGGCCGCCAUGCCGGCCAGCUCUCCGGAGGUCUCCGACGAUGACCCCCCAAUGGAGACUGGCUUCGAUGAUGACUCCGCGCCGCAACCGACAACGGUGCAUGCUGGCUUGACUAUGGAGCAGGCAUGGUCGUACUUCAACAUACCCCCAUGGCGGAGGAGCAACCGGUGCUUAAGUGCAUUCCAGCAGACGCAGGAGGAGUAG